AUUCAACCAGUAGCAUAUCUUAUUUUUUUAAGAAAAUACUUUUUCAAAAAAGGUUUAUUUCUUUUUUACUUUCAAUUUCACUCGAAUCAAACGUUUUCAGUUAUUUUAUAAAAACUGGUUAGGCUUGUUUUUCAACCAAUGUUUUGUUUAAAUAAGUAAGAAAUAAUGUUAUAGCAACGAACACAUCUCUACUCAAAACAUGAACGAAGAAAGACACUUUGUAAGAAUAAUAUAUUCGUUUUUUAACAAGCUAUUUUGUUACAAUUAUUUUUUUUGAGUUAAUUCAUUGUUUAAUUAUACUCUAUUUUAAUCUGUUUUUAACAAAUAGUAUUUUUUUAAUUAAUACCAUGACCACACAGUUGAUUUUUUACGUUAAAUCGUUUAUUAAAUGACUUUCUUUUCAAUUCGAAAGAUUUAUAAAAAUCUAAAUCUAAUACUUAAUAAAAAUAAAAAAUUGUCUCCUGUAGAUGUCGGUAUAGUUUUCAAUGAUAAGAAUUUUACUUGAGAAAACUCUUCACGUACAGCGUAAACCAGAGCAAGCAUUUAAGCACACUGAACACAAAGUAUUUAUAAUUAGUUAACUAUAAUGAAAUAAUAACAUUUUUGAUUUAACAAAACACUUUUAUAAUAAAAUUUUGUAAAUCAGUGACUUUUCACAUAAACAUAGUAUUUAAUUUUUAAAGAUCUGUAGUCUAAGUUGAAAUUCGACUUCUGCAAGUAACUUCUAUAUAUGAUGUUCCACAAAGUGUAAAUAAAAAUUGAGUUUAUAACAGUUUAAAAAGAAAUCAUAAAAGCAAACAAGGAUAGAAGGCUAAAUGUACGAUAGCAUCGAUAUUUUUUAUUGUGUAAAUAUAUGAAUUUCAUUAACAGGCUAUUCAUGAAAAAGAUUAUUUUAUUGCAUAAAAUAAAGAAUAUUUUAAAAUGUCAUGAAAUAAUGAUAACUUAUGCGCCGAUAGUAUCAGUCAAAAGGAAAGUCAUAGAUGAUGAAUUAUAAAAUCAAAAAUAUUCUUGCCAAUAAGAAAAAAGCCGUACCAUAUAUAUCGUAUGUCACGAAGAUAUUGUGGCUUUUCAGUUUCCAUUUAGUUUGUUUUUAUAAAUUAUCCAGAAAUUUUUUUUAAAAAAAUUCUAUACAAAAUACAAUAUUAAUAAUGGCAUAAAGCUAAUAUCACAAAACACACAGUGGAGCCAGUUUUGUUACACAAAAAAACCUUGACUACUACCCUUGUUGAACUUCAAUAUAUUUUUUUUAGGUCUAAGACAUGUAGGCUGGAUGCCGUAACAUUGACUAAUGUCCACACGCAAGCAUGCCGAGAUGCAACUAGGAAUGAAUAACCUUAAAGCAUUUUCAAUAACCUGUUUUUAGUACAUUGAAUUGAUGCUGUUUUUAAUCCAAAUAUCACUCAACUUGAGGUUUGUAUAAUUAGAAUUUGUGUUAGCUGGUUGUAUGAAUUUUCGAUUAUUCAACUCGGGUGGAUCUGUACAUAAUUCUAUUUAAUUUUUAAAAUAGAUUUUAGAGUUAAUUUUCCUGUUCUAAUUUUGCGCAUUGUCGAAAUCAGCUUGUGCGAAACCAUUCCGUAAGGUAACGCUUCGACAAGUGUUACGAAUAAACAGUAAUUCUACAUUGAGGAAACCCUAAUGGAAUCAUUGGCAGAUCCUAAAGAAGACAGAGUUGUUAAAGAGGUUAAACCUCCUCCAGCCAAACCCUUGUCAGAUGAGUUGCUUUUUCCAAAUAACAAUCGUGUACCAGACUGGAAAACUUUAAAAAAACAUUUUGAAAAGGAAGGUCGUUUAUCUACUCAGCAUUGUUUAGAAUUGAUUCGUGCAGUGUCCAAAAUAACUUCGAAUGAAUCAAAUUUAUUAUUUCUAGCUUCACCUAUAACAAUUGUUGGUGAUAUUCAUGGUCAAUAUUAUGACUUGAUUAAAUUAUUAGAAGUCGGAGGUGACCCCGAAGUUGUUCAAUAUGUAUUUCUUGGAGAUUAUGUAGACCGAGGUUCUUUUUCUAUUGAGGUUAUUCUUUUAUUAUAUACAUUGAAGUUAUGUCGCCCUCAUGAUGUUUGGCUAUUACGAGGGAAUCAUGAGUGUCGUCAAAUGACUGUAUUUUUCAAUUUUCGAGAAGAAUGCAUUUACAAGUAUGAUUUAUCUGUUUAUUAUGCUUUCAUGGAGUCUUUUGAUACACUACCACUUGCUGCGGUCAUUGACAAUAAGUUACUGUGUGUUCAUGGAGGCCUCUCACCAGAUUUGCAUCAUUUAAAUCAGAUUAACGCCAUUAAUCGAUUUAGAGAACCACCACGCGCAGGUAUUUUUUGUGAUUUACUUUGGUCGGAUCCAAUAGAUCAAGAUAAAAUUCCUGUUGGAUCAGUUUCAAAUGAUCCUUUUAUUCCUAAUGACGUAAGGGGUUGUAGUUUCUUUUUUGGAUACGAAGCUGCACUCGAAUUUCUGCAAAAAAAUCAUUUAUUGUCGAUUGUACGAGCUCAUGAGGCCCAGUUAGAAGGGUUUAAAUUGCAUAAAGCUAACGCAGGAAGCGGAUUUCCAACUGUCAUAACUAUUUUCUCAGCUCCAAAUUAUUGUGAUUGUUACAACAAUAAGGGCGCUGUUCUUAAAUUUCAAAAUAAUACUUUAAAUAUACAACAAUUCAAUUUCUCGCCUCAUCCAUAUCAUCUCCCCAAUUUUAUGAAUGUCUUCACGUGGUCCAUUCCAUUUGUUUCCGAAAAAGUUGUUGAAUUACUUUACACCCUGCUUACACCGUCAACAAAAGAUACAGAUCAUAUUGACGAUGAAGAUGAUGAUUCUAUUGAUGACACUGAACUUCCUGACUCGAUUAAAGAAUUUCUACAAAGCUUUGAGUCGAAACAUAUUCUCAAGUCUAGAGAUUUAGACAAUGACACUGCAGCGGGAUUAUUACCCUCUCAACGCGUUGCACCUUUAACGUCUGGGAUGAGCCUGCAUCGUUCAGUCGGUUGCUAGAUUAUUGCGAUUGUUUCGUACCUUACGACAACAAAAUGAGCUUAUUGUACAACUUAAAAAAGUGACACCAGGACAUCGUAUUCAUCCAAAAUCUCUUCUUGAAGACGAGAAGGAUGCAGAGGAAGUCAAUCCUGAUUUAACACGAAAUCGAUUCACGAAUGAUAAGAAAGUCGACAAGGCAAAUGAACGUGGUCCAAAGUAAAGCUUUUAUUUAUUAGUUGGUUUCUUUCUUAGCUACUGAUGAUAAAUUCAUCGUGGUUGUUUC